rfam:Gossypium hirsutum cultivar TM-1 chromosome 15, whole genome shotgun sequence
ACAACGGCUUUACUAAAACCCACAUAAAAACAUUUAAAAGUAAUA